ACAGUUAUAUCAGAGGUGCAGAUGUUGAAGAAAAUCUCCAAAAUAAAUAAAAGCAGCAUCGCACACUCAGGUAGCCGAUGUCUGAUAUAUUUAUUCAAUAGAUAACGUUCUGGAAAAACCUUCUUCAGAUAUUUUCUUUUUUUUGACCCACCGUGCACGUGGCCACUGGGCUGGUCUUUUACAGUUGGCUCGUUAUUGUGCUGAACUCAUUUUGGGAGCAGAUCUGAUUGAAGACAUUGAAGAUGAGUUCCCAAAGAUGAUCGAUAUAUGAUUCAAUGAAAAGUUUGCAGCGCUUCUUCUCUGGGUGGACGCGGGACCACAGCGCCACCGUCUGGAGAGGAGAAGGAAACAGCCCCUGUGUUUGAGCCCGUGCCACAGGAUUACCCCCCGGGCUCCUCCCCUCUUUGGCCCCGGACCCGCCCUCUCCCUCUGGGAUUGGCUGAGGGGCCGGUGUCCCCCGGGGGCCCCUCUCUCUCUCUCACUCCUCAGUCUCAUUCACAGAAGUUUUCCCUCAGAGACUCAAACAGAUGAACAUGCGGCGGCCCG
rnacentral:lncRNA from 1 species